rnacentral:rRNA from 1 species
GACGAACGCUGGCGGCGUGCUUAACACAUGCAAGUCGAACGGAAAGGCCCGGCGUUUGUGGGGUGCUCGAGUGGCGAACGGGUGAGUAACACGUGAGUAACCUGCCCUUGACUUUGGGAUAACUUCAGGAAACUGGGGCUAAUACAGGAUAUGAGCUCCUGAUGCAUGGGGGGGGAUGGAAAGUUUCGGCGGUGCGGGCUGGUUUCGCGGCUUAUCAGCUUGUUGGUGGAGUAGGGGCGGACCAAGGCUUUGACGGGUAGCCGGCAUGAGAGGGUAGACAGCCACCUUGGGCCUGAGAGAGGGACCAGUCUCCUACGGGAGGCAGCAGGGGAGAGUAUUGCACAGUGAGGCGGAGUGUGAGACGACAGCGUCGCGUGCGGAAAGACGGCCUUCGGGUUGUGAACCGCUUUCGCCUGUGACGAAGCGUGAGUGACGGUAAUGGGUAAAGAAGCACCGGCUAACUACGUG